rnacentral:sRNA from 1 species
UCUUGUGGCCCCCGCGGUGCGGAGUAUGGGGUGCUGAUGGCCAUGGAGGGCUACUGGCGCUUCCUGGCGCUGCUGGGGUCGGCACUGCUCGUCGGCUUCCUGUCGGUGAUCUUCGCCCUCGUCUGGGUCCUCCACUACCGAGAGGGGCUUGGCUGGGAUGGGAGCGCACUAGAGUUUAACUGGCACCCAGUGCUCAUGGUCACCGGCUUCGUCUUCAUCCAGGGCAUCGGUUCAAGCGAUUCUCCUGCCUCAGCCUCCCAAGUAGCUGAGAUUACAGCCAUCAUCGUCUACAGACUGCCGUGGACCUGGAAAUGCAGCAAGCUCCUGAUGAAAUCCAUCCAUGCAGGGUUAAAUGCAGUUGCUGCCAUUCUUGCAAUUAUCUCUGUGGUGGCCGUGUUUGAGAACCACAAUGUUAACAAUAUGGCCAAUAUGUACAGUCUGCACAGCUGGGUUGGACUGAUAGCU